rnacentral:rRNA from 1 species
UACAGAGGGGGCAAGCGUUGUUCGGAAUUACUGGGCGUAAAGGGCGCGUAGGCGGCCGCCUAAGUCAGACGUGAAAUCCCUCGGCUUAACCGGGGAACUGCGUCUGAUACUGGAUGGCUUGAGAUUGGGAGAGGGAUGCGGAAUUCCAGGUGUAGCGGUGAAAUGCGUAGAUAUCUGGAGGAACACCAGUGGCGAAAGCGACUCACUGGGUCUUCUCUGACGCUGAGGCACGAAAGCUAGGGUAGCGAACGGGA